GGAGCAGGUUUGGUGGGCGAAAGAAAAGAACGUUUGUUACAUGAGACGUUUCCAGUUCCAGAGGCAGCAAAGCCGCCCACAGCACCGCGGGGCCUCCGCCAUGCUUCACCGUGAGCCCGGCGUUCUGUUCGCCAUCGGCUUCAUUCUUCUGCCCCAAAGCUCCAGUUUUGAUUCGUCGCUGCACAGAACAGAAUUACGAAGCUUUGGUGGCUUAUUUACAUGGUUUUCAGUGUUUACUGCUGCAGGUGUGUGUUCGCUCGAGGGUUUUUCACCGCUUGUCUCCUCGGGAAUCUGGUGGUUUCCUCUUCCUGCCACGUCCAGGAAGUGCAGCCACUGUUCCUCCAACCGCAUCUGCAGGGGCAUUUCUUGCUUUUGCUCUCGUCUUGUGGCCUCCUCCUUGAUGCUGCUGAUCUCUGUUGUGAACUUCAUGGACCUUUUCUAUUGACUUAUUUAUAACAUGCGAUCAAACGUCCCUCUCAACAAACCCCUGGCACACCUGAACUAAGGUAGCCCUUGAUUCGCUG
ensembl:lncRNA